rnacentral:pre_miRNA from 1 species
AAUAUACUCCCUCCGCCCGGAAUUACUUGUCGCAGAAAUGGAUAAAAGUGGAUGUAUCUAGAACUAAAAUACGUCUAGAUACAUCCAUUUCUUUGACAAGUAUUUUCGGACGGAGGGAGUAGCAU